rnacentral:lncRNA from 10 species
GCAGCUGCUCUUUGCUGGGUGUCAUUCCUGUCACUGUGAGGACACUGGCAAACCAAAGAGAUUGGUCCUUGUCUUUGGGACUCCUAGAGUUGAGGACAGAUAAUGCAUAGGAAGAAUCAGGAUUCAUGACUACAACCCCAAAAUACGGCACUUCUGCCUGUGUGGAAACAACAGAAGCAGGAAGAUUACUCUCAUUUUUCUCUGGCCUUUUUCCCUUGAAGCAGACUAUAAAGAAGAAUCUGACCUUCCUCUGAAGGAAACCUUCAUUCCAGACAUACCCUCCCUAUAUCCAAAGAACAUCUUUAUCUUUAAAGACACAGAGAUGUCAAGAAGAAUCUGAACAAACAGGCUUUGCCAGAUCCCCCAGUUUACUAAUAUUGAACCAUACUCUUUUGUUCUUCAAUCAUACUUCUGCAUGAUGUCCAUAAAAAUACACAGUUUUCCCCAUUCCUUUUGGGUAUUUAUUCCCGAAAGCUUCUGUGUCAUGUAAAACUUACAUUAAAUAAAUUUGUAUGCUUUU